AAGUUCAACUUCCUUUUAUAGCAGCCAAUCAGCUUUCAGCACAGAAUUAUAAAGCUGCUCUUGUACAAGUUUAAGUGUAGAGUGUAGAGAUGCCCACGUCUUGUCUACGACUUAAAAGAUUACUCCUGUCCUACAAACACUGAGAGUUUAGCAAUGAUUUCAUUGUAUGUAAUGGUUUUGCUCUCAUCAGCAGUAGGUAGCCCUUCAAAGAUUGACAUUCCCUGUUUAGGUGGGAUGAGGUUCAUUCAGAGCGGGCAAAGCAUCACUCUGAAUUGUCCUUCUCUCACUUUUAAUGCAAUAACAACUACAUGGUUCAAACAGACUCCAGGAGAAAAGCUUCUUCUCAUUGCUUCUGCUGUUCGUUCAACUACAGUUAAAUAUCACAAUGGUUUUGACAAGAGUGGCCGCUUUAAUGCAUCGAGGGAACAAAGCAGUUUU